rnacentral:rRNA from 1 species
GACGUAGGGCGAGAGCGUUGUCCGGCAUUAUUGGGCGUAAAGAGCUCGUAGGCGGCCUGUUGCGUCCGCUGUGAAAGCCCGGGGCUUAACCCCGGGUCGGCAGUGGAUACGGGCAGGCUAGAGGUAGGUAGGGGAGAAUGGGAUUCCCGGUGUAGCGGUGAAAUGCGCAGAUAUCGGGAGGAACACCGGUGGCGAAGGCGGUUCUCUGGGCCUUACCUGACGCUGAGGAGCGAAAGCGUGGGGAGCGAACAGG